rnacentral:rRNA from 1 species
UACGGAGGGUGCAAGCGUUAUCCGGAUUUACUGGGUUUAAAGGGUGCGCAGGCGGAUAUGUAAGUCAGUGGUGAAAUCUUCCCGCUUAACGGGAAAACUGCCAUUGAUACUAUAUAUCUUGAAUGCUGUGGAGGUAAGCAGAAUAUGUCAUGUAGCGGUGAAGUGCUUAGAGAUGACAUAGAAUACCUAUUGCGAAGGCAGCUUACUACGCAGAUAUUGACGCUCAUGCACGAAAGCGUGGGGAUCAAACAGG